rnacentral:rRNA from 1 species
UACGUAGGGUGCGAGCGUUGUCCGGAAUUACUGGGCGUAAAGAGCUCGUAGGCGGUUUGUCGCGUCGUCCGUGAAAACUUGGGGCUCAACCCCAAGCUUGCGGGCGAUACGGGCAGACGUUGAGUACUGCAGGGGAGACUGGAAUUCCUGGUGUAGCGGUGAAAUGCGCAGAUAUCAGGAGGAACACCGGUGGCGAAGGCGGGUCUCUGGGCAGUAACUGACGCUGAGGAGCGAAAGCGUGGGUAGCGAACAGG